UUUUGUUCUCUAGGUCAGCGUUGGCUUCUUCCAGGGCCCUGACUUUAUCCAGGCCACAGCUGCCGGCCCCUCCUCGGAAGCCCCGGGCAGAGCCUCCCCCGAGACCGUAUCUGCUUCCGCUGCUGAAGCUGCUGCCACCAGCAGAAACCCUGACGGAGCUGCUGCCUCCAGCCCUGGAGGAGGACAUGCGAGAUGAGCAAGACAUGGUGUUCCUGCGAAGGUCUGGCUUGUCCAGUGCAUCAGUGCUUUGAGGAUUCAAGGUGUUUCCUAAACUUUAAAUCGUUAAACUGGGAGUAGUUCUCAUUACACUGUACUAAGGAUAAAGAAUAUUCUCCAUUACACUGCUUUGUAGAUUUUGCUGUUGUGUGCAAAGAGGAGGUUGGACCAAAAUGUCUGUUUGAAUAAACUGGAAUCAUGUCUUCCUGCUAUACCAUAAGAUUUUCAAAAUUAAAUUUGGGAAUUUUGAUAGCUUCAGAAUAAUUUAUUUUGGGGAAAGGUUUUCAACCCUACCAGCCUAUGUAUCCAGCCAGUCCAUCCUAAAGGAAGUCAGUCCUGAAUAUUCAUUGGAAGGACUCAUGCUGAAGCUGAAACUCCAAUACUUUGGCCACCUGAUGCGAAGAACUGACUCAUUUGAAGAGACACUGAAGCUGGGAAAGAUUGAAGGUGGGAGGAGAAGGGGACAACGGAGGGUGAGAUGAUUGGAUGGCAUCCCUGGGACUCAAUGGACAUGAGUUUGGUAUCCUGACCAGAGAUUGAACCUGCACCCCCUGAAGUGGAAGCAUAGUCUUGACACUGGACUGCCAGGGAAGUCCCCCUCUUUUUUUUACUCUUGUUUUUCUUUAGCUGUUCGGUGAGAAGAGUUUCAGUGGGUCACACAGUUGAAGCUACUUUGCUUUAGCAACAAGAUGUCAGCAUUGGCCUCCUCCAGGGCGCGAACAUUCUCCAGGUAGGAUGCGAGGCGGUCAUUGAGAUUCUGCAUGGUCACCUUCUCAUUGCCAGAAAGGAGGCCCCCCUCAUUCACAGUAAAGCCAGCACAGGCAUUGCUCCCCAAGGCAUUUCCUCCUGACGAGCUGCCCCCAAAGGCACACGAGAAACUGCUUCCAAUUCCAGGCAUGCUGCAAGCAUUUCCAGCCCCAAAGCUGGCUCCCCCACCAGAGAGCCUGAGAGAGCCGGUGGUGGGACGGGGACUGGCCCUCCUGGAUCCACUGGGAAGUCGAAGAGACAUGAUGUCAGGACAGGUGUGUUGCAGAGCUGUGUUUAUGAAAGCUGGAAUGGAGUGACUGCCCAUCCCAGCUCUUCUGUCGUCCUUUUUAUAGACAAUGCUCAAGUGUGUUCUGGAUGAAAUUCUGCCUACAGAGAGUCAAACACUGCUUGCCAGCCUCAGCAAGUUAGCUUAAUUGGAUGAAUUUUCCUAAUUAGUAUCUAACUUUGCCCGGCUCAUUUCUGUAGGAGGGCAGUUGCCCGCAGGUUGGUGGUUAUCUGAGAAAUGGGUCUGGGUGGAGCAAUUUCUGGUUCCUUAUUACAUUUUUAAAUUGUGAGUGAGUCAUUCCUCACUUCCCUCCUUAGAAGAUAAAAACUCACCAGUUCACCACCGAAUAAAAAUCUGGCGUCAUGGUUUUGGGCUGUUAGGCCAAGGUAGAUUUUGAUGUUUCUGAGACUUCUACUGCUUCUGUUUUUACAGUUCUUUCCACAUAAAUAGAGGACAGGACAGCAAUCAUUAUUUCCCCAGCUUGGAUCUUCAACUACCGUCUUUCCUCCUCAACUCUUGCUACUGUUUCUGGUGGGAAGUUAAUUUCCAUUUUGGCUGACAUGCAGGGUGUUUUGUUGACACGUACUUAUGUCUGGGUAGAGUUGUCUUCUCACAUCCAUUUUGGUAAUUAGGAACACACCCCUAAUUGCUGUUAUGGGUUGUGGGAGUUUGGAAGGACAUUAACUUAUUUCCUGACCUUGCAAAAUUUGAAGCAAAAACCUGGAAAGAAUUAUUUCACCUGUUUCUACUUCGUGGUGGUUUCGCUUAGGUGAAAGUCAUCAGUAAGCUUCUUCCUGGAUGUGGAUUCCCACAUAUUUAUUGAAAACUCUAAAUAUUACGGCAAUUUGGGUAAAAAAAUCUGGAAAUUGGCUUAUGGACAAAAUUUCCAUGAAUAUUUAUUAUGUGAGGCUGUUGUGAAAAUAUGGGUUAAUUCUUUCAUUCAUUUAGAACCUACUAUGUGCCGGUCAUUCUUCUGACACUUGUGAUAAGUAGAAUCAUACGCUAUUUGUCCUUUUGUGACUGGCUUGUUUCACUUAGCAAAAUGUCUUCAGAGUUCAUCCAUGUGGCAGCAUGUAUCAGAUUUUCCUCUCUUUUUAAGGCUGAAUAAUGUUCCAUUGCAUGUAUUUUGUUUAUCCAUUCAUCAGUCAGUGGCCACUUGGGUUGCAUCCACUUUUUAGUUAUUUUAAAUAAUGUAUAAUGCAACUAUGAACAUGGAUGUAUAAAUAUCUGUUCCAGUCCUUGUGUACCCUUUUCAUGGGAACAUACCCCAAAGUAGAAUUAUUAGAUCGUAUGGAAAUUUUAUUUUUAAUUUUUUGAAGAAAUACUGUACUAUUUUCCAUAGUGGCUGCACUAUCUUAUAUUCCCAUACAUAGUGCACAAGGAUUUUGAUUUCUUCACAUCAUCACAAACAUUUGUUAUUUCCUUUUUUUUGAUAGUCACCAUAUCAGGUGGUAUCUCAUUGUAGUUUUGACUUGCAUUUCCCUAAUGAUUAGUGAUGUUGGGCAGCUAUUCAUGUCCUUGUUGGCCAUUUGCAUAUUUUCUCUGGAGAAAUGUCUAAGUCCUUUGCCCACUUAAAAUAUCAUGUUGGGUUGUUUUUUUUUUUUUGGUUAAGUUGUAGGAGUUUGUUUUAUAUUCUGGAUAUUAACUCAUUAUCAUCUUAUUUUUAAAUAGGUUGAAUUAAGAGUUGAACAUGACUGAGUGACUAAGCACACAUGCACACAUCACUCUUCAUUUUUGGAUUGUGAUUAUUUUAUCUAACUUAAGGAAGUGAUUAACUCUGCGAGGUCAUAAAAGUAUCUUCUGGUAACAUACUCGAAACAUUUUGCCUUUCAUGGUUAAGGCUUUGGUAGUUUGGAAUAAUUUUUGUGUAUUCUGUGGUAUGUAAUCAAAUUUCAUUUUUUCGAUAUGGAUAAUGAUUUCAGCACUGUGUACAGAAUAGUGUCACCCUCUCUCUGCAAUGCCAUGCCAUACUGUCAUAAAGGAACUGUCCGAUGCUUCAAUUAGUCAGGAAAUCAAAGUCCUCAAUAAAUCGUCAUUUAGGUGGAGAUUCAACUGUUACUAUUUUUUGGUCUGGUGCAGAAACAUAUCGUUUUGGUUACCAUUGCUCCAUAAUAUAACUUGGUAUCUGGUAAGGCAAGUAUUCCUUUGUUCUUAUUUGCCAUCAAGUCAAAUAUUCCUUCUGUAUUGCUCUUUCAUAUAAAAUUUAAAGCCUGAUUCUCAAAUGCAGUAAUAGGCCAAGAUUUGCUUGAAAUCCAUUAAGCUAUUUGAAUAAAAUUGACACCUCUGUGAUAUUGUGUAUGUGUAUCCAAAAAGUUGAAUAUUCUUUCCAUUUAUUUAGGUCUUUCAUAAUGUUCUUCAGUGAAAAGGUGCAGAUUUCUUCAUAAUAUGCUUUUGCAUCCUUUUUAAAGAACUAUUUCCAGAUACUUAUCUAAUAUUGCCAAAGAUAUCUUUUAGAAAUCACACUUUCUGGACAAAUUGUACUAAGAAAUGCAGUUGAUAUCUGUGUAGUGGGUUUGAUCAACUUUACUACAGUCUGUUUUUCCCCCACCCAGUUUAAAAUUUUUAUUUUAUUUUUUUUGGCUGUGUAGUAUGCAGGAUCUUAGUUCCCUGACCAGGAAUUGAACCCGGACAUUUGAUCAUGGAAGCAUGGAGUCAUAGCCAUUGGAUCUCCAGGAAAUUCCCAUCCCCCAGCUUUUCUUUAUUAAUUUUCCCAGUUUUAUUGAGGACCAACUGACAAAAUUAUAAUGCAUAAAUUAUAAUACAGUAUUACAGAAUUGUAAUACAAUUGUAAGAAAUUAUUCUCACAAUGAAGUUAGUAAAUGCAUUUAUCACCUCAUAUGGUUACCUUUUUUUUUCUUUUUGGUGAGAACAUGUAAUAUCUGCUCUCUUAGCAAAUUUCAAGUAUUCAGUACAGUAUAAUUAACUUUAGUCAUUAUGCUACACAUUAGAUCCUCAGAGUUUAUUCAUCUUUUAACUAAAAUUAUGUACCCUUUUUUCUCCAUUCCCUAGUCCCUGGCAAUACCAUUCUACUCUCUGCAUGAAAAUAUGAUUUUUUUAAAUUGGAGGAUAAUUGCUUUUCAAUGUUAUGUUAGUUUCUGCCAUAAAACAACAGGAAAAUCUUCUUGACAUAAACAAACAUAGCAAUGUCUAUAGAAUAAAAUGUUAAAAUCCUUCCUCACCUUCCCCUCUCUUUUGUCCUCCCUGCUUUCUCAGGAAGCUGCAGUUUACCCAUCCAAAUGUUUUCACUCUUCCAAAUGGAUUUCUGUUUAUUUGCACACAUACACAACGUGUAAAAAUACACACGCUAUCUACUGGCCCUCAGAAUGCUUGUGGAUAUCCAAAUACCACCAGACCUGAGGGAAACGGAUGAUGGAAGGGACGUUGGCAUGGAAACAGACAGCAGAUUUCACCAAUUGUGGACUGAGGAGGGAGAUCCCGCCUGAUUCCUCCAUGCUGUGUUUUACUCCAGAGGCCACGAGCUCUUAUGGUCCUGAUUUUUCAGGGCAGUACCUUCUCAGCCUGUUCUGUAAAAUAUUUGUUUCCAAGGGCACGAUGGUGAAAUGUCUAGGACAUGUUCUGUUAGCCAAGGUCUGAAUGAUGGAUACUGGACAAGGUUUCGUAGUUAACAAUUAAGAGUGCCUAAUGAAAGUUUUAGAAUUGAACAUUGAAAAACAGACUGGUUCCAAAUCAGGAAAGGAGUAUGUCAAGGCUGUAUAUUGUCACCCUGCUUAUUUAACUUAUAUGCAGAAUACAUCAUGAGAAAUGCUGGGCUGGAUGAAGCACAAACUGGAAUCAAGGUUGCUGGGAUAAAUAUGAAUAACCUCAGAUAUGCAGAUGAUACCACCCUUAUGGCAGAAAUUGAAGAAGAACUAAAGAGCCUCUUGAUGAAAGUGAAAGAGGAGAGGGAAAAAGUUGACUUAAAACUCAACAUUCAGAAAACUAAUAUCAUGGCAUCUGGUCCCAUAACUUCAUGGCAAAUAGCUGGGAAAACAAUGGAAACAGUGAGAGACUUUAUUUUCUUGGGCUCCAAAAUCACUGCAGUUGGUGACUGCAGCCAUGAAAUUAAAAGACGCUUGCUCCCUGGAAGAAAAGUUAUGACAAACCUAGACAGCUUAUUAAAAAGCGAGACGUUAUUUUGCUGACAAAGGUCAUCUGCUCAAAGCUAUGGUUUUUCCAGUAGUCAUGUAUGGAUGUGAGAGUUGGAGCAUAAAGAAAGCUGAGCACUGAAGAACUGAUUCUUUUGAACUGUGGUGUUGGAGAAGACUCUUGAGAGUCCCUUGGACUGCAAGGAGAUCCAACCAGUCCAUUCUAAAGGAGAUCAGUCCUGAAUAUUCACUGGAAGGACUGAUGCUGAAGCUGAAACUCCAAUACUUUGGCCAUCUGAUGCGAAGAGCUGACUCAUUGGAAAAGACCCUGAUGCUGGGAAAGAUUGAAGUUGGGAGAAGGGGACGACAGAGGAUGAGAUGGUCAGAAAGCAUCACUGACUCAAUGGACAAGAGUUUGAGUAAACUCCGGGAGUUGGGGAUGGACAGGGAGGCCUGGCGUGCUGCAGUCCAUGGGGUCGCAGAGUUGGAUACGACUGAGUGACUGAACUGAAUGAAAGUUUUGGGGAUUUGUUAGCUAUUGAUACCAGUGUUUUACCUUUUUUUUCCACUAAGACUGAAUUCUUAGAAAUGUGGAUGAGUACUUAAGUUUUCCAGCCCUCAUACUUAUGCUUUCCAGAAGUAUUAGCUAAAACCAUGCAUUUUGGAAUCACAACUUAAGUUUGUAUUAAAUAUAAAUCUGUCUUGUAUAGAGAGACAAGUCUUUUUAUUUGAAUAGGAAAGAGUGGAUAUAGAAAAAUGGAAGUUAGAUUGUUUUUGGAAAGAAUAAGAACGCUCUUGGGAAUAAGGAGUGACUAGCACUGGUGGUCGCAGACAAAGAGGGUCCAACAUUGUGGUAUUGAGAUGAUGGAUUAGCCAGGUGUCUUGAGAGAGCUGUAGUUGUGGCUCUAGUCCUCCAAUUCCUAGGAGAUGGAGCCUCUGGAUGACCCUAUCAGUCAGAAUGAGAUGGUAACAAGACAUAAUGAAGUAGCUUGCAGCCUAAGAGAGAGAAUAUAUAGUGACCAGGACUUAAUAAAUAUGAAGACAGAGAAGAUUGGUGCUGGAGAGGAGCUGGAGAUGGGUGGUGAACAGAGAGGAAAAGACUACAUCUCUGCACACAAGAAUCUGUUGAUGAUGGACAUUCCUGGAUGGCAAUGGAAUCUUAGUGUGAAAUAGAAGGUGCUUUGGGGAAAUUGUUGAUUUUUUUCCUGGUCAAUUAAGACUCUGGUCAGCGAGGAAGAAAGGGAGAUCUGAAUUUGAAUUUAUCCCCCACCGCCCAUCAUCUGUGUAACUCUGGGGAAAUUGCUUAAUCUAUCUGUAUGUUUAUGCCUUUAUGUAAAUAAAAAUAAUAAAAACACUUACCUUAUAAGCCUUUAUGAA